GCUGGGUGUUGUGGUGGGCACCUGUAAUCCCAGCUACUUGGGAGGCUGAGGCAGGAGAAUUGCUUGAGCCCAAGGAGGCAGAGGUUGCAGUGAGCAGAGAUCUCACCACUGCACUCCAGCCUGGGCAACAGAGCAUGAUUCUGUCUCAA
ensembl:misc_RNA Metazoa_SRP Metazoan signal recognition particle RNA